UACGGGGGAGCAAGCGUUGUUCGGAUUUACUGGGCGUAAAGGGCGCGUAGGCGGCCACCGCAAGUCGACUGUGAAAUCUCCGGGCUUAACCCGGAAAGGUCAGCCGAUACUGCGGGGCUAGAGUGCAGAAGGGGCAACUGGAAUUCUCGGUGUAGCGGUGAAAUGCGUAGAUAUCGAGAGGAACACCGGUGGCGAAGGCGGCGACCUGGGUCGAUACUGACGCUGAUGCGCGAAAGCGUGGGGAGCAAACAGG
rnacentral:rRNA from 1 species